AACAGAUCAUAGGCAAUGACCUAUUUCAUCUCUAAAUGAAAGCUUAACAUGUGAAGAAGAAUGUAAAUCAACUAAAUGUAGUGGAGAAACAGGAAAAUGGAAUUAAGAAAAUGUGGAGCAGAAUACAGGCUGUACAGAGACAGCAUGAGAAUGAAAAAUUAUUGUAAAGACCUUAAAGCAAGAAGAAAACAUGGCAUGAUCCAAGGAAUGCCAGAGGGCUUUUAAGACAAGAAAAAUCAAGAGAAUGGAGAGACCUCUAAGAGACACCAGAGAAGAUUCAAGGAGAUUGAAAAGCAGAGAAUCAAAUAGAUUCAUUCCAG